UACGGAGGGAGCUAGCGUUAUUCGGAAUUACUGGGCGUAAAGCGCACGUAGGCGGCUUUGUAAGUUAGAGGUGAAAGCCUGGAGCUCAACUCCAGAAUUGCCUUUAAGACUGCAUCGCUUGAAUCCAGGAGAGGUGAGUGGAAUUCCGAGUGUAGAGGUGAAAUUCGUAGAUAUUCGGAAGAACACCAAGUGGCGAAGGCGGCCUCACUGGACUGGUAUUGACGCUGAGGUGCGAAAGCGUGGGGAGCAAACAGGGAUUAAGAAACCCGGGGUAGCCAG
rnacentral:rRNA from 1 species